rnacentral:tRNA from 1 species
UCCCUGGUGGCUUAGCAGUAAAGAAUCCACCUGCAAUGUGGGCGACCUGGGUUCGAGCCCUAGGUGGGGAA